rnacentral:lncRNA from 1 species
ACAAUCGAUUCAGAAAGGAGAAAAAAGAGAACUGUAAUCGAGUUUAGAAGAAAGAGAAGGAGGGUGUGACUUUAGGUGACUGUGUUUGUCGAUUGGAUUUUGAGAAGUGAAAGGGGGUUCCGAUUUCUAGUGUGAAACCCUUGUCAUCGAUCUAACCUUGUUGGUGUUUCAAGGUUUGGUUUUUUCGAUCUAACCCUUGCUGGAGCUUCCUGUUAAAGCAAGCCCUAGCACCAACCAAAAUCGAAACUUGAACAGAAGGAUUAAGGCUUGAAUCUAAUAAGAUACCUUGUAUUGUUGAGGAAUCGACUUUGCUUAAGCAUGAAUUAAAGGAAAUUGGGGGUAAACGAGGCUUGAUAUGUCCGAUUAGGAGUUAAAUUGGGUUGCAAACUGAUCUUGGAAGAAGCUAAGUUGAAAAUUGAUCUUGCCCCUACAGCAGAUUCAUAACCAUCAUUGGUAUCAGAGGUGGCACCUACAGAACCUGUUCCAUAAUCAAACUUUGAGAUCUGGGUUAAAUACACACACUGAAAAGGAACUCCGGAUCACAUUCAAAGAAGAUGAAAAUGGUGUGUUCUGAACAGAAAAGAAAAAUGGUUACUGAGAUCGAUGGAGGAAUAAGGAAGAACGAAUGGAAGCAGCUUGAGGGUCGAAAAGAGAUGAAUACAAAAGGGAAAAUGGUGGAUGUCGUCGGUUCUUUUUCUCCGCUGAACAGUGCCGACGGUCCUGUUUGCGAUCGAGCGGAGGCUUGCUUCAGCUGGCCAUGGCGGCGAUUUGGUGGUUAUUGGGUCGGUCUGCCAUUAAAAUGGAAGGAAGACGAGAGGUUGGGUUGAAGAAGGCAACAAAUUCGAUGGUUGCUAGGUUUUUUUUGGUGAUUAGGGGGGAGGGAGAGAGAGAGAGAGUUUCUUUUAUUUUUUAUAUUUUUAGUUAGAAAAUAAUUAAAUAACAAAAAGAAAAGAAAAAACAAAUGGAAAAGGGCAAAUUCGUCAUUUUUAAAAAUUUUAAACUGUUUUGGACCAAAAUCGCAGCAAAAUGAAAACUUUUGGACUAUUUUCGCUAGUCCAAACCUGUUUGGCCCAAAGUAGCAUUUUUGGACAUACCACAGGGACCAUUCUUGCAAUUUUGU